rnacentral:rRNA from 1 species
AGAGUUUGAUCCUGGCUCAGAAUCAACGCUGGCGGCGCGCUUAACACAUGCAAGUCGAGCGAGAAAGGGGAGCAAUCCCUGAGUACAGCGGCGUACGGGUGAGUAACACGUGGGUAAUCUACCUCUUAGUGGGGAAUAACCCUGGGAAACCGGGGCUAAUACCGCAUAAGCCUGAGAAGGGAAAGCAGCAAUGCGCUGAGAGAGGAGCCCGCGGCCGAUUAGCUAGUUGGUGAGGUAACGGCCCACCAAGGCGACGAUCGGUAGCCGGCCUGAGAGGGCACACGGCCACACUGGCACUGAAACACGGGCCAGACUCCUACGGGAGGCAGCAGUGGGGAAUCUUGCACAAUGGAGGCAACUCUGAUGCAGCGACGCCGCGUGAGCGAUGAAGCCCUUCGGGGUGUAAAGCUCUUUCGGCAGGGACGAUAAUGACGGUACCUGAAGAAGAAGCUGCGGCUAACUACGUGCCAGCAGCCGCGGUAAUACGUAGGCAGCGAGCGUUGUUCGGAAUUACUGGGCGUAAAGAGUGUGUAGGCGGUGCUCUAAGUUCGGUGUGAAAUCUCCCGGCUUAACUGGGAGGGUGCGCCGGAAACUGGAGUGCUCGAGCGUGGGAGAGGAAAGCGGAAUUCCUGGUGUAGCGGUGAAAUGCGUAGAUAUCAGGAGGAACACCUGCGGUGUAGACGGCUUUCUGGACCAUUGCUGACGCUGAGACACGAAAGCGUGGGUAGCAAACAGGAUUAGAUACCCUAGUAGUCC